UACGUAGGUGGCAAGCGAUACUCGGAAUCACUAGGCGUAAAGCGCAGGUAGGCGGUUUGGUAAGUCUUUUGUGAAAGCUCCCGGCUUAACUGGGAGAGGUCAAGGGAAACUACCAGACUAGAGUGUGGUAGGGGAUACUGGAAUUCCUGGUGUAGCGGUGAAAUGCGUAGAUAUCAGGAGGAAUACCUAUGGCGAAAGCAGGUAUCUGGGCCAUCACUGACGCUGAGCUGCGAAAGCUAGGGGGGCAAACAGG
rnacentral:rRNA from 1 species